rnacentral:sRNA from 1 species
UGGACGAAAGUGCUAUCGUGGUUAAAAUCCAAGGUUAUUUUGAUGCAUGGCAAGCUCUCCUCAUCAAACCAGACAUCUUCUUUAAGAUUUCUUGGCUAUACAAAAAGUAUGAGAAGUCUGUCAAGGAUUUGAAAGAUGCCAUGGAAGUUCUGAUAGCAGAAAAAAGACGCAGGAUUUCCACAGAAGAGAAACUGGAAGAAUGUAUGGACUUUGCCACUGAGUUGAUUUUAGCAGAGAAACGUGGUGACCUGACAAGAGAGAAUGUGAACCAGUGCAUAUUGGAAAUGCUGAUCGCAGCUCCUGACACCAUGUCUGUCUCUUUGUUCUUCAUGCUAUUUCUCAUUGCAAAGCACCCUAAUGUUGAAGAGGCAAUAAUAAAGGAAAUCCAGACUGUUAUUGGUAAGAAUUUAUCAAAUAAAUAAUACAUCUUAAAAACA